rnacentral:tRNA from 1 species
UCCCUGGUGGCUCAGAGGUUAAAGCGUCUGCCUGCAAUGCAGGAGACACAGGUUCGAUCCCUGGGUCGGGAA